UAAUACGGAGGGGGCUAGCGUUGUUCGGAAUUACUGGGCGUAAAGCGCACGUAGGCGGCUUUGUAAGUUAGAGGUGAAAGCCCGGGGCUCAACCCCGGAACUGCCUUUAAGACUGCAUCGCUUGAACGUCGGAGAGGUGAGUGGAAUUCCGAGUGUAGAGGUGAAAUUCGUAGAUAUUCGGAAGAACACCAGUGGCGAAGGCGGCUCACUGGACGACUGUUGACGCUGAGGUGCGAAAGCGUGGGGAGCAAACAGG
rnacentral:rRNA from 1 species